rnacentral:rRNA from 1 species
AUUGAACGCUAGCGGGAUGCUUUACACAUGCAAGUCGAGCGAGCGGCGGACGGGUGAGUAAUGUAUGGGGACUGCCCGAUAGAGGGGGAUAACUACUGGAAACGGUAGCUAAUAACGCAUACUAUCGGAUAACCCAUAUGGGAUUAGCUAGUAGGUGGGGUAAUGGCUCACCUAGGCGACGCUCCCUAGCUGGUCUGAGAGGAUGAUCAGCCACACGGGGACUGGGACACGGCCCAGACUCCUACGGAGGCAGCAGUGGGGAAUAUUGCACAAUGGGCGAAAGCCUGAUGCAGCCAUGCCGCGUGGAUGAAGAAGGCCCUAGGGUUGUAAAGGACUUUCAGUCGGGAGGCGUUACCGACAGAAGAAGCACCGGCUAACUCCGUGCCAGCCGCCGCGGUAAUAC